UGGGGAAUAUUGGGCAAUGGGCGCAAGCCUGACCCAGCAACGCCGCGUGAGGGAAGAAGGUCUUCGGAUUGUAAACCUCUGUCCUAUGGGACGAAAAAAAUGACGGUACCAUAGGAGGAAGCUCCGGCUAACUACGUGCCAGCAGCCGCGGUAAUACGUAGGGAGCGAGCGUUGUCCGGAAUUACUGGGCGUAAAGGGUGCGUAGGCGGCGCUGCAAGUCAGAUGUGAAAUCCCCGGGCUUAACCCGGGGGGUGCAUUUGAAACUGCGGUGCUUGAGUGCAGGAGAGGAAAGCGGAAUUCCUAGUGUAGCGGUGAAAUGCGUAGAUAUUAGGAAGAACACCAGUGGCGAAGGCGGCUUUCUGGACUGUUACUGACGCUGAGGCACGAAAGCGUGGGGAGCAAACAGG
rnacentral:rRNA from 1 species